UGGGGAAUUUUGGACAAUGGGCGCAAGCCUGAGCCAGCCAUGCCGCGUGCAGCAUGAAGGCCUUCGUGUUGUAAACUGCUUUUGUACGGAACGAAUAGACUCUGGUUAAUACCUGGGGUCCAUGACGGUACCGUAAGAAUAAGCACCGGCUAACUACCGUGCCAACAGCCGGCGUAAUACCUAGGGUGCCUACGUUAAUCGGAAUUACUUGGCGUAAAGCGGGCCCAGGCGGUUAUGUAAGACAUAUGGGAAAUCCCCGGGCUCAACCUGGGAACUGCAUUUGUGACUGGAUAACUUGAGUACGGCAGAGGGGGAUGGAAUUCCCCGUGUAGCAGUGAAAUGCGUAAAUAUGCGGAGCUACACCGAUGGCGAAGGCAAUCCCUUGGGCCCGUGCUGACGCUCAUGCACGAAAGCGUGGGGAGCAAACAGAUUAAAUACCCUGGUAGUCCACGCCCUAAACGAUGUCAUCUGGUGUUGGGUCUUCCCUUCUCAGUACGACUAAGCUAAGCGCGAAGUUGACCGCCUGUGGAGACGCCGCAAGGU
rnacentral:rRNA from 1 species